GGGGAUUGGCAAAAGCGAAGGGCGCUUCGUUGACACCGAAGAGGGCAUUGGUUCAAAUCCAAUACCGCCCACCA
rnacentral:tRNA from 1 species